rnacentral:pre_miRNA from 1 species
UGCCCCUUGCUCUGGCUGGUCAAACGGAACCAAGUCCGUCUUCCUCAGAGGUUUUGGGUCCCCUUCACCAGCUACAGCAGGGCUGGGCC